rnacentral:rRNA from 1 species
GAAGGGGGAUGCAAGCGGUAUCCGGAAUCACUGGGCGUAAAGAGUCUGUAGGAGGUGAUGCAAGUCACUGGUGAACAACUCUGGCUCAACCGGAGGAAAGCCAGUGAAACUGCAUGACUAGAGUGUGGGAGAGGUAGAAGGAAUUCCCUGAGUCCCGGUGAAAUGCGUAGAUACAGGGAAGAAAACCGGAGGCGAAAGCGUUCUACUGGAACACACCUGACACUGAGAGACGAAAGCUAGGGGAGCGGAUGGG